rnacentral:rRNA from 1 species
AGUGAACGCUGGCGGUAGGCCUAACACAUGCAAGUCGAACGGCAGCACAGUAAGAGCUUGCUCUUACGGGUGGCGAGUGGCGGACGGGUGAGGAAUACAUCGGAAUCUACUUUUUCGUGGGGGAUAACGUAGGGAAACUUACGCUAAUACCGCAUACGACCUACGGGUGAAAGCAGGGGAUCUUCGGACCUUGCGCGAUUGAAUGAGCCGAUGUCGGAUUAGCUAGUUGGCGGGGUAAAGGCCCACCAAGGCGACGAUCCGUAGCUGGUCUGAGAGGAUGAUCAGCCACACUGGGACUGAGACACGGUCCAGACUCCUACGGGAGGCAGCAGUGGGGAAUAUUGGACAAUGGGCGCAAGCCUGAUCCAGCCAUACCGCGUGGGUGAAGAAGGCCUUCGGGUUGUGAAGCCCUUUUGUUGGGAAAGAAAAGCAGCAGGCUAAUACCCCGCUGUUCUGACGGUACCCAAAGAAUAAGCACCGGCUAACUUCGUG